rnacentral:rRNA from 1 species
UACGAAGGGGGCUAGCGUUGCUCGGAAUCACUGGGCGUAAAGCGCACGUAGGCGGACUCUUAAGUCAGGGGUGAAAUCCUGGAGCUCAACUCCAGAACUGCCUUUGAUACUGGGAGUCUUGAGUUCGGGAGAGGUGAGUGGAAUUGCGAGUGUAGAGGUGAAAUGCGUAGAUAUCUGGAGGAAUACCGGUGGCGAAGGCGGCAUCCUGGACCGGCAUUGACGCUGAGGAGCGAAAGCUAGGGGAGCAAACGGG